CAAUAGCGUAUAUUAAAGUUGUUGCGGUUAAAAAGCUCGUAGUUGGAUUUCUGCCGAGGACGACCGGUCCGCCCUCUGGGUGUGUAUCUGGUUUGGCCUGGGCAUCUUCUUGGAGAACGUAGCUGCACUUGACUGUGUGGUGCGGUGUCCAGGACUUUUACUUUGAGGAAAUUAGAGUGUUCCAAGCAGGCCGAUUGCUUUGAAUACAUUAGCAUGGAAUAAUGGAAUAGGGCUGCGUGACUCGUCGUCUUCGGGCGGCGGGUCCUCGUGUCCUAUUUUGUUGGUUUUCGGGACCGCAGUCAUGGUCAAGAGGGACAGUUGGGGGCAUUCGUAUUCAGUUGUCAGAGGUGAAAUUCUUGGAUUUACGGAAGACGAACAACUGCGAAAGCAUUUGCCAAGGAUGUUUUCAUUAA
rnacentral:rRNA from 1 species